rnacentral:rRNA from 1 species
AUGAGCUUGGUGUCUUGGGCGUGCUUGCCGUCCCGGAGGCAUGGCAGCGAUGGCGGCGCUCGCCGGCGGCUGCGCGAUGGAGCUCCGGGCCGUGUGUCGGCCUAUGAAGGUGGGCGGUGCUGUGGCUGCCAUGGCGUGUGGUGGAGGUGGCGGGGCGGUGACGUCGUACGUGCGGCGACUGCGGAGGCCGCCGAGGCGCUGCGAGGUGGCGCGGAGGCGCAACACGGCGUGGCGGCGUGGAGGCACUGCAUGGCGGCAUGGAGGCCGCGGCGGUGCAGGGCAGUAAGAUGCGGCGGCGAGCCGGGCGCGACCGGUGCGUGUUAUGGGUGCGCACUGGACGCGUCGGGCGCGUCGGGGCCGCGGGCGCGCGUACGAGCGUGCGGUUGA